AAUGAGCCUGCGAGUUGUGGUGUCUGGCAAGGUUAAGCAAACGCGAAGCCGUAGCGAAAGCGAGUCUGAAUAGGGCGCUUAGUCAGAUGCUGCAGACCCGAAACGAAGUGAUCUAUCCAUGAGCAAGUUGAAGCUAGUGUAAGAACUAGUGGAGGACUGAACCCAUAGGCGUUGAAAAGCCCCGGGAUGACUUGUGGAUAGGGGUGAAAGGCCAAUCAAACUUCGUGAUAGCUGGUUCUCUCCGAAAUAUAUUUAGGUAUAGCGUUGUGUCGUAAUAUAAGGGGGUAGAGCACUGAAUGGGCUAGGGCAUACACCAAUGUACCAAACCCUAUCAAACUCCGAAUACCUUAUAUGUAAUCACAGCAGUCAGGCGGCGAGUGAUAAAAUCCGUCGUCAAGAGGGAAACAACCCAGACUACCAGCUAAGGUCCCUAAAUCUUACUUAAGUGGAAAACGAUGUGAAGUUACUUAAACAACCAGGAGGUUGGCUUAGAAGCAGCCAUCCUUUAAAGAAAGCGUAAUAGCUCACUGGUCUAGUGAUUUUGCGCGGAAAAUAUAACGGGGCUAAAGUAAGUACCGAAGCUGUAGACUUAGUUUACUAAGUGGUAGGAGAGCGUUCUAUUUGCGUCGAAGGUAUACCGGUAAGGAGUGCUGGAGCGAAUAGAAGUGAGCAUGCAGGCAUGAGUAGCGAUAAUUAAUGUGAGAAUCAUUAACGCCGUAAACCCAAGGUUUCCUACGCGAUGCUCGUCAUCGUAGGGUUAGUCGGGUCCUAAGUCGAGUCCGAAAGGGGUAGACGAUGGCAAAUUGGUUAAUAUUCCAAUACCAACAUUAGUGUGCGAUGGAAGGACGCUUAGGGCUAAGGGGGCUAGCGGAUGGAAGUGCUAGUCUAAGGUCGUAGGAGGUUAUACAGGCAAAUCCGUAUAACAAUACUCCGAGAACUGAAAGGCUUUUUGAAGUCUUCGGAUGGAUAGAAGAACCCCUGAUGCCGUCGAGCCAAGAAAAGUUUCUAAGUUUAGCUAAUGUUGCCCGUACCGUAAACCGACACAGGUGGGUGGGAUGAGUAUUCUAAGGCGCGUGGAAGAACUCUCUUUAAGGAACUCUGCAAAAUAGCACCGUAUCUUCGGUAUAAGGUGUGGUUCGCUUCGUAUUAGGAUUUACUCCGAAAGCGAAGAAACUUACAACAAAGAGUCCCUCCCGACUGUUUACCAAAAACACAGCACUCUGCUAACUCGUAAGAGGAUGUAUAGGGUGUGACGCCUGCCCGGUGCUCGAAGGUUAAUUGAUGGGGUUAGCAUUAGCGAAGCUCUUGAUCGAAGCCCGAGUAAACGGCGGCCGUAACUAUAACGGUCCUAAGGUAGCGAAAUUCCUUGUCGGUUAAAUACCGACCUGCAUGAAUGGCGUAACGAGAUGGGAGCUGUCUCAAAGAGGGAUCCAGUGAAAUUGUAGUGGAGGUGAAAAUUCCUCCUACCCGCGGCAAGACGGAAAGACCCCGUGGACCUUUACUACAGCUUGACACUGCUAUUUGGAUAAGAAUGUGCAGGAUAGGUGGGAGGCUUUGAGUAUAUGACGCCAGUUGUAUAUGAGCCAUUGUUGAGAUACCACUCUUUCUUAUUUGGGUAGCUAACCAGCUUGAGUUAUCCUCAAGUGGGACAAUGUCUGGUGGGUAGUUUGACUGGGGCGGUCGCCUCCCAAAUAAUAACGGAGGCUUACAAAGGUUGGCUCAGAACGGUUGGAAAUCGUUCGUAGAGUAUAAAGGUAUAAGCCAGCUUAACUGCAAGACAUACAAGUCAAGCAGAGACGAAAGUCGGUCUUAGUGAUCCGGUGGUUCUGUGUGGAAGGGCCAUCGCUCAAAGGAUAAAAGGUACCCCGGGGAUAACAGGCUGAUCUCCCCCAAGAGCUCACAUCGACGGGGAGGUUUGGCACCUCGAUGUCGGCUCAUCGCAUCCUGGGGCUGGAGCAGGUCCCAAGGGUAUGGCUGUUCGCCAUUUAAAGCGGUACGCGAGCUGGGUUCAGAACGUCGUGAGACAGUUCGGUCCCUAUCUGCCGUGGGCGUAAGAAGAUUGAAGAGAUUUGACCCUAGUACGAGAGGACCGGGUUGAACAAACCACUGGUGUAGCUGUUGUUCUGCCAAGAGCAUCGCAGCGUAGCUAAGUUUGGAAAGGAUAAACGCUGAAAGCAUCUAAGCGUGAAGCCAACUCUAAGAUGAAUCUUCUCUAAGCUCUCUAGAAGACUACUAGUUUGAUAGGCUGGGUGUGUAAUGGAUGAAAGUCCUUUAGCUGACCAGUACUAAUAGAGCGUUUGGCUUAUCUUUAAUAAAGCAU
rnacentral:rRNA from 1 species